AUGGACUCCCGUUCCUCGCCGGCCAUCAAACCUGCCCAGUAUGUCAAUGUUGAUGAACCAGAGAUCGUCGGCAAACAAGAUGAGAAGGAACAAGUGGUAAAGAUAUUGCUCGACCACUCCCACAACAACAGUGAUAAUAAUAACGUUAUGGUGCUCCCCACCAUAGUUGGUAUGGGGGGAAUUGGUAAGACCACCCUUGCUCAACUUGUGCACAAUGAUCAAAGAGUGGUGCAUCAUUUUGAGUUGGUUAUAUGGGUCUGUGUCUCUGACAAAUUUGUUAUCGAAGAAAUAAUCCGGUCUAUAAUACAAGUGGCCACGAUGAAGAAGUGUGAUUUGACUAACAUGGAGGCACUGCAGAAGGAUCUUAUUUGGGUGUUGGGCAAGAAAAGGUACCUCCUAGUGCUAGAUGAUGUUUGGAAUGAAGAUAGAAAGAAGUGGAAUGAUGUGAGAUCAUUGCUAUGUUCACAUGCUGGCUCGGGUAGUGCUAUACUUGUGACAAGCCGCAGUGAUCAAGUUGCUUCUAUGAUGGGCACACUUCCUUCGCAUCAGAUGUCACUUCUAAAUGAGGAUCUAUCAUGGCAGCUUUUCACAGAAACAUGUUUCGAAGAGAAGUAG
rnacentral:rRNA from 1 species